CUGCACUCCAGUCUGGUGACAGAGUGAGACUCCGUCUCAAAAAAAAAAAAAAAAAAAAAGGUGCAUAUCACUACCUGUAUUGGCUUGUUUAAUGGCUUACUUAGUGUCUUAGUCCGUUGUGUUGCUAUAAAGGAACACCUGAGGUUGGGUAAUUUAUAAAGAAAAGAAGUUUAUUUGGCUCAUGGUUCUGCAGGCUGUACGUGAAGCAUGGCCAGCAUUUGCUUCUGGGUGAUGGAUCUCUGCAGUAAGUGGAAGAGUUCUUCAUGGCCCCCAAGGUUAUAUCCAUCUAGAACUUCAGCACGUAAUUUCAUCUGGAAAUAGUGCCUUUGCGGAUAUAAGUUAGGUAAAACUGAAGAUGAGAUCAUACUGGAUUAGGAUGGGAUCUAAAUCCAAUGAAAAUGUCUUCAUAAAAAACAGGAAAGAACCCAUAGAAACACAAGGAAGAAGGUCAUGUGAAGAUGGAGGCAGAGAUUGGAGGGAUGCAGCCACCGGCCCAGGAAUGCCAGCAGCCACCCAGAAGCUGGAAGGAAAUGAGGGAUUCUCUCCUAGAACCUUUAGAGAGAACAUGGUCCUGUGAACAGCUUGAUUUUGGACUUGCCCAUAGCUUGUAUACUCUUACUUUGGAUACAAUUUUAUCCAAACUUGGCUAAACAGUUUCUCAGCCUAUGGAAAAUUUAAAAUGGAGAAGAUUCAACUCGAUUCUUACAGAUUCAAAGCAAGAAAAUGAUGGGAACAUAGGAGGAGACCAAGAAAGCCUAUAAAAAGCAAAAAUAUGAAGUGAACAUUGUGGUAGCUUUAAGAUGUUUAGUGUAGCUGCAGGCACCCUAUACACAUGAAAACCCCCAAGGGGAAUCCCCAUAUCACAGUGUAGUGUGAUAUUUGACAUUCGUGAUCAUCUAGAGAUGUACAGAAAAGGUGAAUCUGUGUUCUGUAUAUUCUGCCUAAGGCAAAGAAAUGUUUAGCUCUCUUUAAAAUAGUUCCAUAAUUUUUUCUAAAAAGCUUUGCUUGAAAACUGUAAGCUUCCCAUAUCUGGAGCAUUUCACUUUAAAUAUUUGGAUAAAUAUGUUAUCUUCUUACUUGGACAUUUCAUGUGUUUAGGGAUUGUCUUCUAAAUUCUUCCUAAUUCAUAUAGCUGCUAACACUUCCCGCAGAGCUAAACCAUUACAGAUAUGAAAUAAAGACCUAUUGAUUUGACUU
ensembl:lncRNA ARLNC1 androgen receptor regulated long noncoding RNA 1